GCGCUCGUAGUAUAGGGGUAGAAUCGUGGCCUUCCAAGCCAUGGACGCGGGUUCAAAUCCCGCCGGGCGCA
rnacentral:tRNA from 1 species